CCCCUAGAUGUUCUGGGCCGCACGCGCGCUACACUGAACAGUUCAACAAGUCUUAACCUUGGCCGAUAGGUCUGGGUAAUCUUUGAACGCUGUUCGUGACUGGGAUAGACCUUUGCAAUUAUGGAUCUUCAACGAGGAAUUCCUAGUAAACGCAAGUCAUCAGCUUGCAUUGAUUACGUCCCUGCCCUUUGUACACACCGCCCGUCGCACCUACCGAUUGAAUGGUCCGGUGAAAUCUCGGGACGGCGGCUUGGUCGCUUGCGUCCGACUGCUGAAACUUGAUUAAACCAUAUCAUUUAGAGGAAGGUGAAGUCGUAACA
rnacentral:rRNA from 1 species